GAUGAACGCUGGCGGCGUGCCUAAUACAUGCAAGUCGAGCGAACAGACGAGGAGCUUGCUCCUCUGACGUUAGCGGCGGACGGGGGAGUAACACGUGGAUAACCUACCUAUAAGACUGGGAUAACUUCGGGAAACCGGAGCUAAUACCGGAUAAUAUAUUGAACCGCAUGGUUCAAUAGUGAAAGACGGUUUUGCCGUCACUUAUAGAUGGAUCCGCGCCGCAUUAGCUAGUUGGUAAGGUAACGGCUUACAAAGGCAACGAUGCGUAGCCGACCUGAGAGGGUGAUCGGCCACACUGGAACUGAGACACGGUCCAGACUCCUACGGGAGGCAGCAGUAGGGAAUCUUCCGCAAUGGGCGAAAUCUUGACGGAGCAACGCCGCGUGAGUGAUGAAGGUCUUCGGAUCGUAAAACUCUGUUAUUAGGGAAGAACAAAUGUGUAAGUAACUAUGCACGUCUUGACGGUACCUAAUCAGAAAGCCACGGCUAACUACGUG
rnacentral:rRNA from 1 species